rnacentral:rRNA from 1 species
CUCCGGUUGAUCCCGCCGGACCCGACUGCUAUCGGAUUGAGAUUUAGCCAUGCGAGUCGAACGUCCCCCUGUUGCGGGGGGCGUGGCGUACGGCUCAGUAACACGUAGUCAACCUGCCCUGGAGACAAGGACAACCCCGGGAAACUGGGAUUAAUCCUUGAUAGGUCAUCUCAUCUGGAAGGAGAGAUGGCUUAAAGGGGUACGCGGGCUUCUUCCGCGAAUCUGCUCCAGGAUGGGACUGCGUCCGAUCAGGCUGUUGGCGGGGUAAUGGCCCACCAAACCUGUAACCGGUACGGGCCUUGAGAGAGGUGGCCCGGAGAUGGACACUGAGAGAAGGGUCCAGGUCCUACGGGGCGCAGCAGGCGCGAAACCUUCGCAAUGCGCGAAAGCGUGACGAGGUUAAUCCGAGUGACUCCCGCUGAGGGGGUCUUUUGUCAGCUGUAAAUAGGCAGGCGAAUAAGGGGAGGGCAAGCCUGGUGUCAGCCGCCGCGGUAAUACCAGCUCCUCGAGUGGUCGGGGCGAUUAUUGGGCCUAAAGCAUCCGUAGCCGGUUCCGUAGGUCCUCUGUUAAAUCCAACCGCUUAACGGUUGACCUGCAGAGGAUACCGCGGGACUAGGAGGCGGGAGAGGCGGACGGUACUCCGCGUGUAGGGGUAAAAUCCUUUGAUCCGCGGAAGACCACCAGUGGCGAAGGCGGUCCGCCAGAACGCGCUCGACGGUGAGGGAUGAAAGCUGGGGGAGCGAACCGGAUUAGAUACCCGGGUAGUCCCAGCCGUAAACGAUGCUAGCUAGAUGAUUCAUUCGCAAGUCGCGAAUGAAGUGUCGCAGGGAAGCCGUUAAGCUAGCCGCCUGGGGAGUACGGUCGCAAGACUGAAACUUAAAGGAAUUGGCGGGGGAGCA